rnacentral:tRNA from 1 species
AAGCCUGUGGCUCAAUGGUAGAGCGUUCGACUCAAAUACCAAAGGUCGCGGGUUCGAAUCCCAGGUGUU